AAAACAACCCCACAAUAUUUAUAAUAUCUAAAUUGUUGUUUGUUGCUUAUUUACUUGUUUUUUGUGUUAAUGACAACUGUUGUUUGACAGGCCACCACAAGCCUGAGGGACAUGUACAUGAAAUUCAUGGUCACAAAACACAAUCUGCAAUUCAUGGACACACAUCUGAAACUCACGGACACGCAUUUUCUGAAACUCACGGACACGCAUCUUCUGAAACUCACGGACACGCAUCUUCUGAAGCUAACGGACACACAACAUCUGCAACUCACGGACACGCAUCGUCUGCAACUCACGGACACGCAUCGUCUGAAACUCACGGACACGCAUCGUCUGAAACUCACGGACACGCAUCGUCUGAAACUCACGGACAUGCAUCGUCUGAAACUCACAGACACACGUCACCAUCUGAAACUCACGGACACACGUCACCAUCUGAAACUCACGGACACACGUCACCAUCUGAAACUCACGGACACAAGUCACCAUCUGAAACUCACGGACACACGUCACCAUCUGAAACUCACGGACACAAGUCACCAUCUGAAACUCACGGACACAAGUCACCAUCUGAAACUCACGGACACACCUCACCAUCUGAAACUCACGGACACACGUCACCAUCUGAAACUCACGGACACAAGUCACCAUCUGAAACUCACGGACACACGUCACCAUCUGAAACUCACGGACACACGUCACCAUCUGAAACUCACAGACACACGUCACCAUCUGAAACUCACGGACACACGUCACCAUCUGAAACUCACGGACACACCUCACCAUCUGAAACUCACGGACACACGUCACCAUCUGAAACUCAUGGACACAUGUCAUCUAAUAGUCUUGAACACAAAUCUGAAAGUCAUGGUCACAUAUCUAAUAGUCAUGGACAAAAAUCUGAAACUCAUGGACACACAUCAUCUGAAACUCAUGGUCAUGUAUUGGAAAGUCUUGGCCACAAAGCAGCAUCUGAAAGCUAUGGACACACAUCUGAAACUCAUGGACACACAUCAUCUGAAACUCACGGACACAUAUCUAAUAGUCUUGGACACAUAUCUGAAAGUCAUGGUCACAUAUCAUCUAAUAGUCUUGGACACAUAUCUGAAAGUCAUGGUCUCAUAUCUAAUAGUCAUGGACAAAAAUCUGAAACUCAUGGACACACAUCAUCUGAAACUCAUGGUCACGUAUCGGAAAGUCAUGGCCACAAAGCAGCAUCUGAAAGCCAUGGACACACAUCUGAAAAUCGUGGACACAUGUCAUCUAACAAUCAUGGUCACAUAUCUGAAAGUCAUGGACACACAACUUCAUCUAAUAGUCAUGGUCACAUAUCUGAAAGUCAUGGCCACAACGCAGCCUUUGGAAGUCACGGACACACAUCUGAAAGUCUCGGACACAAAACAGCUUCUGAAAGUCAUGGACACAAAUCUGAAGAUCAUGGACAUAAAACAACUUCUGAAAGUCACGGACACGCAUCUGAAAGUCAUAGACGCACGUCUGAAAGUCACGGACACACGUCUGAAAGUCACGGACACACGUCUGAAAGUCACGGACACAAAACAGUGUCUGAAAGUCACGGACACACAACUUCAUCUAAUAGUCAUGGUCACAUAUCUGAAAGUCAUGGCCACAACGCAGCCUUUGGAAGUCACGGACACACAUCUGAAAGUCUCGGACACAAAACAGCUUCUGAAAGUCAAGGACACAAAUCUGAAGAUCAUGGACAUAAAACAACUUCUGAAAGUCACGGACACGCAUCUGAAAGUCACGGACACACGUCUGAAAGUCACGGACACACGUCUGAAAGUCACGGACACACGUCUGAAAGUCACGGACACACGUCUGAAAGUCACGGACACACGUCUGAAAGUCACAGACACACGUCUGAAAGUCACGGACACAAAGCAGCAUCUUCAACUCACAGCCAUGUAUCAUCUGAAAGUCAUGGACACACAACUUCAUCUAAUAGUCAUGGUCACAUAUCUGAAAGCCAUGCCCACAAAACACCAUUUGAAAGUCAUGGACACAAAUUUGAAAUUCAUGGGCACAUAUCUGAAGCUCAUGGACACACGCCACCAUCUGAAACUCAUGGACACUCGUCACCAUCUGCAACUCAUGGACACACGUCACCAUCUGCAACUCAUGGACACACGUCACCAUCUGCAACUCAUGGACACACGUCACCAUCUGCAACUCAUGGACACACGUCACCAUCUGCAACUCAUGGACACACGUCACCAUCUGCAACUCAUGGACACACGUCACCAUCUGCAACUCAUGGACACAAAACACCACUUGGAAGACAUGGACACACAUCUGAUAGUCAUGGACACAAAUCUGAAAGUCACGGGCACAUAUCUGAAGCUCAUGGCCAUGUAUCAUUUAAUAGUCAUGGCCACAUAUCAUCUAAUAGUCUUGAACACAUAUCUGAAAGUCAUGGCCACAUAUUGUCUAGGAAUCAUGGACACAUACCUGAAAGCCAUGGCCACAUAUCUGAAAGUCAUGGACACAAAUCUGAAAGCCAUGGACACAAAUCUGAAAGCCAUGGACACAAAUCUGAAAGCCAUGGCCACAUACCUGAAAGCCAUGGCCACAUACCUGAAAGCCAUGGCCACAUAUCCAAUAGUCAUGGACACAAAUCUGAAAGCCAUGGACACGCACCGAAUAGUCAUGGACACGCACCGAAUAGUCAUGGACACGCACCGAAUAGUCAUGGACACGCACCGAAUAGUCAUGGAUACACACCGAAUAGUCAUGGACACACACCGAAUAGUCAUGGACACACAACAUCAUCUAAUAGCCAUGGCCAUGUAUCUGAAAGUCACAGCCACAAAACAUCAUCUGCACAUGGGGAGGAAAGAACUGAAAGGAAAGGUAUCUCUUGUAUAUGUAUUGCUGGCAGUGCUUUUAGCAGUUAUGCAUGCUGUACAGUACCUGUAGUGUCAGAUUUUUCCUAUAAAUUCAACUAGGCAGCUUCUAGCACAAAGUGGAGACAGCAGAAAUUUGUCUAAAUGUUGACAGUUACUGUGUCAGUUCACCACGGGACACGUAGACGGCCUCAUCUGAACAUGGGGAGAAGCAUGCAGGAAGACGAGGUAUAGCUUGUAGAUGUUCCUAUAAACAGUAGUGAUGGAAAUGUGUAACAGAUAAACUUUCAUCACAAUCUAACAAAGCUGUACUGUACUAGAUACUUAUCUAAAUGUUUGCUUAUAAUUUAAUGACAAUGGUUAUUUCAGACCACCACAAAUCUCAUGGACAUGUACAAAAAACUCACAAACCACAAACCAACAUUCUCCUCUGAACAUGAGGAAGAAAGGCACACAGAAAGAAAUGGUAUUUGCCUGGAGGUGGCAUCAUUUUGUUGGUUGAUUUACAUAUUGAAACAUCCUGUACAGAAACUUCUUACAAGCUUAACUUGGCAACUCAAAGUAUUAAAUUGGGCCACUGUAAACAGCAGAGCUGCAACUAAAUUUGCAUGUCUGUAUGUUCUCAGCAACAUAUAAACCCAGUCAGUAAAUUUAGGCUGAAGAGGAAAAGCUUAAUUUAGCACCAAAGUUUGAGUCAUUAUCUGAGACACUGCUUUGUAACUUAACUGUAAUGAAAAUUGACAGGACGACUUAGCUUUUUACAUUUUUCUUUAGAUAGCCGCAACAGAGUCUGACACAAAAAUGCAUAGUUGCUACCUUUAUCAACAAUACAAAACAUGUGAGUUUGACAGUACAGGGUGUAAAGCUGUGAGAUACCUUUAGCGCUUGAUGCAUUUUCAGUAGUCAUUUUUCAGUCAUUUUCAGUUGGCAUUUUCUUUUGUUUGGGCUGAAGUUUGGUUAACAUGCAACAUGACAAAGAUUAAGAUUUCGCAAAGGAUCAUGGUUUGGGUUUUAGCUUGCUUGAGUGAAUCCAGCUACAAGAAUAGCCCCUUUUAAAUGUAAGCAUCUCACAACUUUACAGCUUUCCUUGUGAAAGUAGUACAUUUUGUGCCUCAGGCCAUUGUAGCUUUUACACAUUUUAGUGUGAGGCUGGGCUGUUUUCGAUGAUGUCCCCUAUAUAAUGUUUCUGCAUGUGUUGUGUCAGUCGUCCAUAACUCUGAAGAACAUGUACAUGAGACUCAAGGCCACAAAGCCCCAACCUCAUCUCAUCAUCAUCCACAAAGAAAAUCUGAGAGGACAGUCUUCCACAAUUCUGAGGGACACAUACAUGAGAGUCAUGGCCACAGAGCCUCCUCUGAGCACGGUGAAGGGGAGGAACAUCAAGAAAGAGGUACAAAAAAAACCAAAGAUAGUAUUCCAUUUAUAUUUAGUAGUUUCUGUGUCCUUGUAGAUUUGAAAAGUGUAUCAUUUGUGAUGCAGUAAAUCUGGAGGUGGUAAAUUUUCACUGCGAGUUAGGCUUGGCAACUUACAGUGAAAAAUGGAAACAAGAAAAUGCAUCUAUAUUUAUCUCUUCAACUACAUGAUAACUUGACAGUCAACAUGAGCCACAAGGCUAAACAUUAAUCAGGUGGCAUCAUAUUUUUAUCCAAGACAAUGAGUGAUGCUGAAAGGCAAGAAAGAAAGAAUAGAGCAUAAAGGAGGCAACCUGGGUAGACUAAAGAAAGAUAGGUUUGACACUGAAGUUGAAAUUAACUGUGUUGUUUCUGUUCUGAAUUAUAUGAACAUUGUGUUGAAUUUUAACUACCCUCACAUCUAGUCUGAUCUGCAGAUUAUAGAUUGUAUGUGAACUUGUGAUUCAUGUUUCUUGCCUGACAAAAAAAAGAAAAAGAAAAGAAAAGCUCUUACAUUGGAAUACAUGAAUGGGAUCUAUAUCAGCAAAGAGUUCUCACAAACCUUUGGAUAUUGUUGACUUGUCUGUAGUCUUUGUGGUAUUUAGUUUGAUAAAACUGCCUGAGAUAAUCUGUGCUGCAUCAAUACAGAUUGAUUUUUGAGUUGUUGCUCAUUUGUAGUGCACCAUGUCAUCGAACAACCUGAGUGGGAAAGAGGGGGUCAUGGGACCACAAAAUACAGUUACGGGAGAGAGGAUGAAGAUGGAGAGGAGCAUGAAAAGGCAAAAAGGAAAGGUAGAAUUUUAGCAUGUAAUAUAAUUACAUAGUGAUUCAUAACUGGUUGCACAAAUUUAUCAUGAUGAGGUUAAUAGGUGACAUAGCACUGCAUUUUAUCUGAACCAUCCUGCUCUGCAGAGUCGCUUCAUUAUAUCUGAUUUGAACCACCUGAGCACCUAGUUGACUCAUUUUCAUAGUCGAAUCCUCUGAUUGACAUUUGUUUGGCCUCCCUGUAUGAUUAGUCUAUAUGCCUUCCUCAAAAAAUUGAACUUAGCAAAGACUUCACAAAAGGGAGAGUGGCCAAACCUGGUGAAGUUUAACAAUAAGACAUACAGGAUCUAAAAACAGUUUCAACACUGAAAAUAAAUAAUCAUUUGGACAUGGAACACCAUUGUAAAAUUAUAAUCCUCUUGUCCAAAAUGAAGAGCACAUGCAAAUCACAUUUUUCAAGUCAAGUCAACUCUUCACUUGCACAAAAGUGACUCCCUUUAUAAAAAAGUGUGAACUCUGUUCAAGUCAUGAAAAUUUCAGCCUCUGAAGACAAACGAUAAUUGACUGAUGCAAAAUUGUGAAAUUAGAAGAACAGACUAACAUUCUAAAUCAAAGCUGCUCAUACUCACUACCACCUACAAUUAUUCAGUGCAGUCAGGAAGAAAUGACUCCCCAGUGUCACACAAUAUGCCACAAUGUGAAAAUGUCUACUUUUAAUCUGAAUUACUGCCCUUAUUUUCUCAUAAAACAUUCCAAAAUGUGCAUUAACUUUUCAAACCAUCAUGCUCAAGAAAUAUUAAUUAUAAGUUGUAUAAAUAAAAUCAUUUCAAUCAAUCAAUCACAAUGCUCAACUCUGAUGACUGAUCUAAUUUUCAUUUUUCUCAGCAUUAGCAAGAGCUCUCAUCCCUGUGUGGAAACAGUUGUUAAAAAUACGAUUAUUGGCUCUUCUUGAACUUCAGAUCAUACCACAAAACCCUCCAACAAGAACAUUGUGGGACAUCAUCAUUUGUGGCGUGAUUGAUUUGCUAGCUGCCGUUUCAAAAAAAUCUUUGUAGACCGUUUUAAAAUGAUUUAAUUAGCACAUCUUAAGAGAUUGGGAUACACUUUAAUUUUGAACCCCAAAACCCAUCAGCAGGUCUAAAAGACAUGUUAGCUUUGAAACUCCAUCAAAAUAUUAUAUAUCAAAUCCAGGAGCCAUAAAAACAGAAAUAAUAGUUAAAGUUUAAAUGUUCCGAUUGUCCUGGAACUAAUCAUGUGUGAUGGACCGUUCUGUAAGAAAAAAUAGACAAAUUUAAGUUUAAAAUCAUGAAGAAGCCAUUAGUGAAUCAGCUAUGAACAACAUUUAAAUGGCAAAAUUCAUAAAAUUUUUGGUUGAACUGGGCUGAACUACAGGCUUCUUUGACAUAACUGUAAUAACGAGGACAUUUAUGAUUUUUCUUCCUCUGGCCCUGAUUGUGCUGUUUCCAUAGAGGUGCAGGACUAUAGUAAAAAAUGAGCCCACAGAGAGUACAAAUGUGACAGGAGCAAAUGAAUGAAAAAAAAAACAAAAAAAAACCACCUAAAAAUAUCUCCGGGUUCAGAGCAUUAGCACAAGCUCACCAAGCUACCAGUCGAGUCAGUUAGAAACAGCUCAAUCUUUAACAAUCAAAUCAGAUGCGACUUAAACUCUGGACUCAGUGCAGCACAUCAGCUGUUCUUUCUUUAAACAGACUUAACAUCUUAUGGGUGAUUUUUCACUUUUGUUCAACCAGUUAAGAAACACUACAGUAGGUGAAGGCCUUUCAGCUUUAUAGGUCAAAGCAACCCCGUUUUCAAGGUAGAAUCUAGUGGGAAUCCUGUCUACCUCAUCCCUAAGACCUCUCUGUAGUAGUGACACUGACCUCUAGGCUGUACUGGCUCCAGCUGUGUGCUGUAGAUGACUGUAGCACAGAAAAUGAUGCGGAGAUGAAUCCUAAACAAAGAUCCCUUCAUCCCUCAAGGGCUUCUGAAACUCUUGAGCUCAGGAGAGCCUCAGGCCAAACAGUUGUUUGGGAUCAUAUACGAUGAUUUCAAAGGUAAGACACCAACACAAGGAGCACAUGGUCUGAAGAUCCACAUAGGAGACUCGAGCUUGAUGAAAUGCUUUAGAUCAGAUCAGUGGAUUUUAAAGUCUGUCAUUUCUCUAAACGUAUGGCAUUGAUCAAGUAGAAAACCUGUGGAAAAAUUCCUUUGAUUGCAUGUUUUAUGUUUUUCAUUUUGCUCAUUCUUUCCCUAUGCAUUUCCCUCAUCGUUGUGUUUGCUUUAUGUGCAUGAACAAGGUAAGUAUCUGCAUUUUAAAUUCAUAUUAAAUCAUCAUUUACCUCCACUGACAUUUCUGUUUACUGAUUUUUCAAAAACAUUUGCAAAAUAUGCCACUUUCCCUCCAACCUCUCACACACUUUGAUCCAGGCUGUUCUGUCUGUCUCUCAAUAUAACUGUCUUUUACUGCCAACAGUUCACAAUUGAUAAAUACCAAUAAAGCAGCAUCUUGACUCAUAACAUUAAUUUGUGGAACAAUGUCCCAUUGCCGCUCUAGUCUGUGGAGUAAUUGGCCAUUUAUAUUUAAUUAGGCAGUUCUUCCCCCCACUGCUAGCAUGCUUCCCUCAAUGCUGAGAGAGGCACUUUAUGGUGCUCCUCUUGCUGGCUUCCUUUAAACCAGCUCAUUAAUAUUUCAGCUGGCAUCAUCAACCAAACAAUAAUAAAAUAAUAAUGUGACGGCUGAUUAAACAGCUAAACUCCAACUUUUUAAUGUGCAUUUAAAUGUGUAUUUGCAUAAACAUGCCUGGUAAACGCCUCUUUAGAGGACAGUGAUGCCUUGCAGCACACUAUUGCAGCCAACUUCUAACGCUUAAUAAAACCUUAAUUAGGUACCAGCCUCUGCCAAGAUAAUCGUGGAGAGACUGGAGAGAAGAACCCCUCCACUUCUCUCUGCACAAUGCACAGCGUACAGUAGGUGAUAUCAGGAUUUAUUUCUGUGUGGAAAAAUUAUACAGAGGGCUUCUCCGCAUCAUAAUUUUUUUAGUUUUGGUUUUAGGGUGUGAAAUUUGGAACAAGUCUUAAUUUAUCAAGCGCACAAGUGUGUAGAGUAAAACCUGCAAUCAAAUCCUCUCAGAUAAUUCAUGAAUUACAAAGAGAAAGUUUAAUUAAGAGCUCUGAUUUUGCAGCACUUUAUAAAAGAACAUUUAAAACAGUGGAACUGGAAAAAACAGCAGUGAAAAGAGAAGAGUGUAAGGCUGUGCACAAAAUACUGUUAUGAUGCCUUUUAUUUUAAUUGAUUGAGAUUGAUAAUACAAAUUUAAUGCUAACACUAAAGAAGGAAAUGCAUUCAACACUUUAGUUUGAAAGAUUCACGCAGUUUGUUUAGGCAUGAAACCCUUUAUGUAAAUAUAACUUGUUGACAAGGCAGCUCCAAAAGCUACCUUCAGUGGUGUUACUGCCACAAAGACAGGAUUGCUCUCUUAAGACUAACAACUACCAGCAACACAGCAAAAAUAAUCAACACCUAUAAAAUGAGAAUAGAGAAGUUUCUGGAUAAUUUUGUGGCUGCCAGCAAUAGCUAACAUCCUGUCAAAAACAUGAAACAACUAAGAAUCUCAGUUUGAAACAGAAACCCCAACUGUCGUGCCAUGAUAAAGGGAGAGUAAAACACCCACUUUCAUAGUAUUGGUAAGUUGUCAGGUUUUGUUACCGAUCCAAUAGAAAUAAUGCCAAGUGAAUAUCAAUUUUGAACCGCCUCAACUCCCAGAGUCUCAAGUCUCUCCUCGUAAAAGUCUGUCCGAAGUUCACUCUUGUUUUAUCUUCUUUUCUGUCAUUCUCCCUCUUCGAUUUUUUCCUUCUUCUGGGUAGAGUUUCUACAGUUACUCCACUUGUUCUCUGUACUAUAAAUCUAGUCUUCCUUUUCACAGGACCUUUCCUACCCAGUAGCAGCCAAACCUUUACCAAUUCUGCAAAAGUUAGCUCUAACACAUGAAAUGCCAAUACAUGCUAUCCUCAUCUGCAUGUGCAGUAAAUGUCCGUAUCAACACAAAACUGUGAUGAUCCACACGACUUCUUUGUGUAAAUAAAAAAUUGUGACCCAACACACUGUCAACGCUGCAAAAGCCCACAUCCAGGGAUUCUCCAUCAUCCACAUCUUUAUAAUUCAUCAAGCGUGUUGUAAUUGAGGUAGUGCUGCCAGACUUGGGACGUGCUUUGAUUUGGACAUGUUUUCCCAUCGACAGAGCCCAAACACAGUGGGAAGUUCUAAAUUCUCCAGCAGUCCUGUGCCAUUUCUGCCCACUGGGCUCAGCACACCUCAGAAAAAGCCUCAUGGUUCCGUCACUAGCUGUUACAUCUUGUAUAAAGAGCAAAGUCACAGCCAGCCUUAACGGAAGCCUUGUGUGUUUUUCCAUAUUUGAAAAGGGGGCAAUGCGAUCAUCUCUGACACACACCUAUUGUGGUAUCAAGAGAACCACGUAUCUGUAUCCACCAUUUGCUUUCAAACUCUGCAUCUCUAAUGGAAAAAAAAACAAAAAAAAAAACAUGGAUUGGCUUUAAUGGCCAGAUGUUCCAAACCAGCAAGAACAGCUGGACCAAUGUCAUGUAAUAAAACAAGAGCAGUUUGGAUCCUAUAGCUGUGUAAUCAAAUUGCUAUAGCCUGGUAGGGUGAUUGUAGAGCUUCUGCCUGACUAAAAUGUACAAGUGAAGCAUUUAUUGCAAAUUACUAACCACUUUCUUAUCAUCAUUGGAAUUUUUUUUAAGGUAGGUAACAAGAUCCCCCAGUUCUAGAAGAGACGCUGCUUUCUAUCAGGUUAACCAGGGUCAGACCGAUUUCAUAGUGUCAGGUAUCGUCUGGAAACACCCACUGUAUCGCUCACCUCAAACUCCCUCGAUUACGAUUCUGUAGCUUAUAAUGUACUCAGCUGGUAAUACAAUUAAAUUCCCAGACAAUUAACAUGGUUGUACUCAUGCACCUGCACACAUACACACAAGAAAAUAAGUAUACACAUACACACACACACAGCCACAAAGGAUAGUGGAAUUCCCAUCAGUAAUCAGUGCAGCACAGUGAAGCAGACUCAGCAAACCUGUGAGUGUAGUAAUGGAGAGGGAGUGGUCUGUCUUUAUUGAACCAAUAUAGACUGAGAAAGGCAAGUCAUAAAAUACACACAGGGUCAUUCAUUUGUUAACCGACACCUCAAACUUUCAGACAUAUCUGUUGUUGCAGGCCAUUUAUCGUUUCCUGCUGUCAUCCAAUAACCCCUAGAGAAAGCAACAUUCUCAUCUUCCAUUUGCUGUUCAUUUUGCGUUCAAUAUAGAAUUGCAAUUGUCCUCAAAUAAGAAUUAAAUUUUAAAUCUGUUUAAUGUCUUUC